UCUUGCUCUGUCACCCAGGCUGGAGUACAGUGGCAUGAUCAUGACUCACUGUAGUCUUCACCACCUGGCCUCAAGAGAUCCUCCAGAGUAGCUGGAACUACAGAGACAGCAAGACAGCACCCUUGGAAAUGCACACUCUAGAAGAUGACAAGAGAUCAUGAAACUCUACAGAACUGUCACAUCUUUGUUAUGUCACAGUAAGGCUGAAUAAGAUGGGAGUCACAUAUAAAUUUGAACCAAGGAAUUCUAGAUAAAACCAAAACCUUUGCUGGAAACAAUGAACCAGAACAUCUUCAGCUAAAUUUUGCUGUCUCAGAAGUAUCCUGUCAAAUGAUGCACAAAUAGUGUUCACCCUCAGUGAUGACAAACACAGCUGAUGAAAAAUUAAUACAAAGGCUGAAUCAUGAAGCCAGGAAGUUAAAAGAAGCGGCUAUCUUUGAAUAAGAUAUUUUCAUCCUCAAAUCAAGUCUACCAGGAACAUCAAGAAUAUUUGAUAUCAGCAUCAUAAUUUUGCAUUUUUGAAUAAACUUUGUAGUUAUAUUACUUGUAAUACAUUUUCCAAAGAAGAAAACUAAACACUGCCAAAUGCUCUGAAAGAAUACCAUUAAGUCAGAUACAUCACCUGAUGGCAUCCUCAUCAAGCCACACUCCGUGAGCACAGAUGGGACAUUAUGUAACACAAAGAGAGUGGGACUGCUCACCAGGCUGCAUUUGGAAAAUAGUGUCAGGAACCUUUCUUUAAACAAAUCCUAUAACAUGAUAAUGUGGCAGCCUACCGCUCCCUCCACCACCAUCCUGGACACUCCUUGGCGGCCUGAAUACAAUUGCGUUAAUAUUCAUGAUUCAUGGUCUACAAAACAAAGAAAGAAAGAAAAAUGAAGAAGAAGGAGAAGAAAAAAAAAAUCCACCACCCCCUGUAUGCUCUGCUGUAUUAGUGUGCCUAAUGAGAAUGAAUUAAA